AAUGAACGUUGGCGGCGUGGAUUAGGCAUGCAAGUCGAGCGAGAACCCCGCAAGGGGGGACAGCGGCGAAAGGGACAGUAAUGUGUAGAUUAUCUGCCCUCAGGUCCGGGAUAGCUGCGGGAAACUGCAGGUAAUACCGGAUAACAUCUCCGGAUCAAAGGUGUGAUUCCGCCUGAGGAUGAGUCUGCAUCCUAUUAGCUAGUUGGUGGGGUAAUGGCCUACCAAGGCAUUGAUGGGUAGCAGGUGUGAGAGCACGACCUGCGUCAUUGGGACUGAGACACUGCCCAGACACCUACGGGUGGCUGCAGUCGAGAAUCUUCGGCAAUGGGCGCAAGCCUGACCGAGCGACGCCGCGUGCGGGAUGAAGGCCUUCGGGUUGUAAACCACUGUCAGAGGGGAUGAAAUGCAGGUGGGUUCUCCCAUCUGUUUGACAUAGCCUCAGAGGAAGAACGGGCUAAGUUCGUG
rnacentral:rRNA from 1 species